UGUUGUAAGCUCCAUGGGGACAAUGAUUUUUCCCACAGUGUGAAGGAAUUCCUGGAGCCGCUGUGUCCUGAUCAUAUGAAAGCGGGGUCCCGGGUAGUACUCUGAGACCGAGUGAAAGGGGGUAAGAGAAGUCACAAAGCCAGGUCUUAAUCCUUAAGGAGAAGGAAUGGCUCACAAGACAAAGAAGUUCUGGAAAAGACAAAUACCAAUGAAGGAACAGCACAGGUGGAGACAUGGGGUCAUGGAGGAGUUGGCAGAUUUGGGAAAGGCAACGUCUCAAAAAUAAAUAUGUUUAAAAAACAGUGUCCACAGGGGACAUGUGGCGACUCCUGGAAACAUUUUUGGUUGUCACAACUGGAAGGUGCUCCUGGCAUCCAGCGGAGGGAAGCCAGGAAUGCUGCUCAGCAUCCUACGAUGCACAGGACAGCCCUUUCCAACAAAGAAUUAUCCGUCCCCAGACUGCCAUCAGAGCCAGGGUUGAGAAACUCUGGUUUGAACAUGAACUGGAUCUGAUCACUUGUGUUGAGUAAGCAUGUUAUAAGUCUCUCAUUCCUUGAUUACUUUAGUAGAAUGGACACAGGAUGUGGUGUCAAAAUUAAUUGGGAAAGCAUUUAGAACUUGAACAUCUGGCUUUCUCCCUUCUAGCCCAUAAAUAAAUACAGGAUAGUUCCCCAGUGUUUGCUGGUCUUGGUUUCCAUGGAUCGAAUAUAGCAAAUAAUACCACCUAUUUCAUGGGCUAUGUUCUUAAAUGACACAUGAAAUAAUAAAUAUGAAAGUGGUUGAUAAGGUAUUAAGAGCUGGAUAUAUACUAGAGAUGGUUGCCCUAAGACUGCUCUAAAGGAAAUAUGUCUGUAUUUUGAAAAUUGAUACAAUGCCAUUUAAUUUUUUUUUAAAAUAACAUUUUACUGAUGUGUUUAUUGAUAUUGGACAUGAUACUUACUUGAAGGAACGUAAGCGUAAAGAGAGACACUGCUUUAGCCUAUAGUAAAAAUUGUUAAUAAAAACGUGCCAUUUUGAAA